UGUAGUCAUAUGCUUGUCUCAAAGAUUAAGCCAUGCAUGUCUAAGUACAUACUUUUGCACGGUGAAACCGCGAAUGGCUCAUUAAAUCAGUUAUGGUUCCUUAGAUCGUUCAUAUUACAUGGAUAACUGUGGUAAUUCUAGAGCUAAUACAUGCAAAAAGCUCCGACCGUAUGGGAAGAGCGCUUUUAUUGACCAAAACCAAUGGGGUCGCAAGAUUCCUUUGUAUGGUGACUCUGGAUAACUUUGUGCUGAUCGCAUGGCCCUCGAGCCGGCGACGUAUCUUUCAAAUGUCUGACCUAUCAACUUUCGAUGGUAAGCGAUAUGCCUACCAUGGUUGCAACGGGUAACGGGGAAUA
rnacentral:rRNA from 1 species